rnacentral:ncRNA from 1 species
GCCAGAAGAGGCGCGUUGCUCAGGUAACGUAUCGAAGGAGCCGGUUUCCACAUCCCUAAUGUCUAGGGAGAAACGAUACGCAAGGGGAUGUGACGCCGAGACGCAGCAGCCCACCGGAGAAACUGCUACGUCGGCUACAAGGGCUGAAUCCCUUGGGCUGUCACCUCGAUUCUCUGUAUUCCGGGGGAUCGGCAAGGUGGGGCGCUUCUGGGU